GCAUCAUUGGUCCAGUGGUUAGGAUUCAUGUCGUAAGAACAUGAGGGCCGUGUUCGAUUCACGGAUGAUGCA
rnacentral:tRNA from 1 species